rfam:Oryza glumipatula chromosome 6, whole genome shotgun sequence.
AAAAAAAAUAAACCUUGAUUUUCGUGUCCAACGUUUAACUGUCCGUCUUAUAUAAAAUUUUCUUAUAAUUAGUAUUUUCAUUAUUGUUAGAUGAUAAAACAUGAUUAAUAUUUUAUGUGUGACUUAUCUUUUUAAUUUUUUUCAUAAUUUUUUUCAAAUAAGACGGACGGUCAAACGUUGGACAUGAAAAUCUAGGGUUUGUCUUUUU